rnacentral:rRNA from 1 species
UACGUAGGGUCCGAGCGUUAAUCGGAAUUACUGGGCGUAAAGCGUGCGCAGGCGGUUUUGUAAGUCCAGAUGUGAAAUCCCCGGGCUCAACCUGGGAAACUGGCAUUUGGGACUGCAAGGCUUGAGUACGGCAGAGGGGGGUAGAAUUCCUGGUGUAGCAGUGAAAUGCGUAGAUAUCAGGAGGAAUACCGAUGGCGAAGGCAGUCCCCUGGGUCGAUACUGAACGCC